AUACGUAUGGGGGCAAGCGUUAUCCGGAUUCAUUGGGCGUAAAGAGCGCGUAGGUGGAUUGUUAAGCGAGAUGUGAAAACUGGGGGCUCAACCCCCCAGCCUGCAUCUCGAACUGGCAGUCUUGAGUUUGGUAGAGGAGUGUGGAAUUCCCAGUGUAGCGGUGGAAUGCGCAGAUAUUGGGAAGAACACCAGUGGCGAAGGCGGCACUCUGGGCCAACACUGACACUGAGGCGCGAAAGCUAGGGGAGC
rnacentral:rRNA from 1 species